UCCUACGGGGGGCAGCAGUGGGGAAUUUUGCGCAAUGGGCGAAAGCCUGACGCAGCAACGCCGCGUGCGGGACGAAGGCCUUCGGGUUGUAAACCGCUUUCAGCAGGGAUGAAACUGACAGUACCUGCAGAAGAAGCCCCGGCUAACUACGUGCCAGCAGCCGCGGUAAUACGUAGGGGGCAAGCGUUAUCCGGAUUUAUUGGGCGUAAAGCGCGCGUAGGCGGCUUGUUAAGCGAGAUGUGAAAACCGGGGGCUUAACCCGCGGCCUGCAUCUCGAACUGGCAGGCUUGAGUCUGGUAGAGGAAAGUGGAAUUCCCAGUGUAGCGGUGAAAUGCGCAGAUAUUGGGAGGAACACCAGUGGCGAAGGCGGCUUUCUGGGCCACGACUGACGCUGAGGCGCGAAAGCUAGGGGAGCGAACAGGAUUAGAUACCCUGGUAGC
rnacentral:rRNA from 1 species